rnacentral:rRNA from 1 species
UACGGGGGGGGGCAAGCGUUGUUCGGAAUUACUGGGCGUAAAGGGCUUGUAGGUGGCCAACUAAGUCAGACGUGAAAUCCCUCGGCUUAACCGGGGAACUGCGUCUGAUACUGGAUGGCUUGAGUUUGGGAGAGGGAUGCGGAAUUCCAGGUGUAGCGGUGAAAUGCGUAGAUAUCUGGAGGAACACCGGUGGCGAAGGCGGCAUCCUGGACCAACACUGACGCUGAGUGAGCGAAAGCCAGGGGAGCAAACGGG